AUACCUACCUAGCGUCAGGAUACUGGGAUCAUGCAGGCGGUUCCCCCGGGGUGCGGCUGCUCCAUUGCACUGCGGAGUGGUUGACCCUUGCGAUUAUUUUUAUAUUUUAUAAGUUUCACUUCUACCGUGUAUACUUGCACACACACACAUUUUUUUACAAAUGGAACUGAGUCCUGUUUCAUA
rnacentral:snRNA from 9 species